AAAAAAAAAAAAAGUCACGGGAGAUUUGGAUUGAAUUUCGCAAGGCCAAAUUAAAAGCUACCUACCUACAAAUUAAUUUUGUUAACAUUGAUGAAUUUAACAAGGGAAUUUAAAAUAGGGGAGUUAAUGGAGUUAAGUAUGCAUUUAAUGUUAGAGGGACGGGGGAAAGCUUUAGGGAGAAAAUCGUACAGUGAGGAUCCAAUUUUGGGACAGUUAAAAAAGAUGUGGUUGGUUGUUCCUUCAUCCAGGCCGCACUCGCAGAUGGAGCUAUCUUUAAUGCGCAUUUUCGCAAGGUGGACAGGGGUGCACGCAUGACCAAGACGCAGGCGACAUAUGACGGAGACAGUUCUUUUAGGUAUCCAGACAGCUGCGCCAGUGCAGCCACCUUCGUCCAGCUUGGAGGCGUCAGUAAAUAUCUUAAGCCAGCCUUGCCAGUGCUCGGAGACAAUAUUAAUAAAUUCUUGACCUGCUGAA